rnacentral:rRNA from 1 species
AUGUACGGAGGCAUCGAGGACUGGCCGGGGGCAGAGAACGACCUCGGCGUCGACCUCGCCCGCUUCGCCGUCUCCGAGCACAACAGCAACACCAAUGCUCUGCUGGAGUUCCAGAAAGUGGUGAAGGUGAAGCAGCAAGUUGUUGAAGGCAUGAUGUAUUACAUUACAAUCGAGGUGGAUGAAGGCUGGGCAAAGAAGCUCUAUGAAGCCAAGGUUUGGGACCGGCCGUGGCUGGAUUCCAACCCCAGGCAGCUCUCGGAGUUCAAGCCGGCAGAGGAUAAACUCUGUACCUUGUUGCGUAACAUGCCUGCUUUUCUGCCGGGGUUGAAUCGUGCAGGCUGUGUUGAAUAUAAAUAA